UGAGGAAUAUUGCGCAAUGGGGGCAACCCUGACGCAGCGACGCCGCGUGAGUGAGGAAGGCCUUCGUGUCGUAAAGCUCUGUCAAAGGGAAAGAAGUGCAUGGUGGCUAAUACCUGCCAUGUUUGACGGUCCCCUUAAAGGAAGCACCGGCUAACUCCGUGCCAGCAGCCGCGGUAAUACGGAGGGUGCAAGCGUGGUUCGGAAUCACUGGGCGUAAAGGGCGCGUAGGCGGUUUGAUAAGUCAGAUGUGAAAGCCCAGGGCUUAACUGUGGAAGUGCAUUUGAAACUGGCAGAAUUGAGUAUCGGAGGGGGAAGUGGAAUUCCCGGUGUAGAGGUGAAAUUCGUAGAUAUCGGGAGGAAUACCGGUGGCGAAGGCGACUUUCUGGCUGAAUACUGACGCUGAGGCGCGAAAGCGUGGGGAGCAAACA
rnacentral:rRNA from 1 species